rnacentral:rRNA from 1 species
AUUGAACGCUGGCGGCAGGCCUAACACAUGCAAGUCGAACGAGUGGCGGACGGGUGAGUAAUGUCUGGGAAACUGCCCGAUGGAGGGGGGUAACUACUGGAAACGGUAGCUAAUACCGCAUACCAUCGGAUGUGCCCAGAUGGGAUUAGCUAGUAGGUGGGGUAACGGCUCACCUAGGCGAAGAUCCCUAGCUGGUCUGAGAGGAUGACCAGCCACCCGGGAAAUGAGCCACGGCCCAGACCCCUACGGGAGGCAUCAGAGGGGAAUAUUGCACAAUGGGCGCAAGCCUGAUGCAGCCAUGCCGCGUGGAUGAAGAAGGCCUUCGGGUUGGAAAGUACUUUCAGCGAGGAGGCGUUACUCGCAGAAGAAGCACCGGCUAACUCCGUGCCAGCAGCCGCGGUAAUAC